rnacentral:rRNA from 1 species
AACGAACGCUGGCGGCGUGCUUAACACAUGCAAGUCGAACGGUGAAGUGCCGUCCAUUUUGGCGGGUGUGGGUGAGUGGCGGGCGCGUGCGUAACACGUGAGUAUCCUGCCCCGUUCUGCUGGAUAACCGCAUGAAAGUGUGGCUAAUAAAGGAUAUUCUGGGUCUGUCGCGGGCUGCGUCUGGGUAGGUUGUUGGUUCGGUAGGGGAUGAGCUCGCGGCCUAUCAGCAUGUUGGUGGGGUGGUGGCUUACCAAGGCGGGGACGGGUAGCCGGCCUGAGAGGGUGGACGGUCACACUGGGACUGAGACACGGCCCAGACGCCUACGGGAGGCAGCAGUGGGGAAUAUUGCACAAUGGGCGCGAGACUGAUGCAGCGACGGCGCGUGAGGGAUGGAGGCCUUCGGGUUGUGAACCUCUUUCGCUAGUGAAGCAGGCCUGCCUCGUUUGUGGGUGGGUUGACGGUAGCUGGAUAAGAAGCGCCGGCUAACUACGUG